GACGAACGCUGGCGGCGUGCUUAACACAUGCAAGUCGAACGGAAAGGCCCCUUUGGGGGUACUCGAGUGGCGAACGGGUGAGUAACACGUGAGUAACCUGCCCUUGACUUCGGGAUAACUUCAGGAAACUGGGGCUAAUACCGGAUAGGAAUCCUUGCUGCAUGGUGGGGGUUGGAAAGCUUCGGCGGUUUUGGAUGGACUCGCGGCUUAUCAGCUUGUUGGUGGGGUAGUGGCUUACCAAGGCUUUGACGGGUAGCCGGCCUGAGAGGGCGACCGGCCACGUUGGGACUGAGAUACGGCCCAGACUCCUACGGGAGGCAGCAGGGGGGAAUAUUGCACAAUGGGCGGAAGCCUGAUGCAGCAACGCCGCGUGCGGGAUGACGGCCUUCGGGUUGUAAACCGCUUUCAGCAGGGGCGAAGCUUGUGGUGACGGUACCUGCAGAAGAAGCACCGGCUAACUACGUG
rnacentral:rRNA from 1 species